AGUGGGCCAUGCGGCUGCGGCAUGCUCUGCAUGCUGAGGAAAGUCCGGGCUCCAUAGGGCAGGAUGCCAGCUAACGGCUGGGCGGGGCGACCCGACGGAAAGUGCCACAGAAAGGAAAACUCCCCAUGUCCCCAGUGGCCACGGGGAAAAGCUGAAACGGUGCGGUAAGAGCGCACCAGCGUCCCGGCAACGGGGCGGCUUGGUAAACCCCAUCCGGAGCAAGGGCGAAUAGGGAUGCCAUGCGUUGGCCCGACGCGCAUCCGGGUUGCCUGCAUGAGGACGACAGCGAUGUCGUCUCGAGAUAAAUGGUCGCACACGACAGAACCCGGCUUAUCGGCCCACUCCA
rnacentral:RNase_P_RNA from 1 species